rnacentral:tRNA from 1 species
GGCGCUGUGGCACAGUGGGUUAAUGCCCUGGCCUGAAGCGCCGGCAUCCCAUGUGGGUGCCGGUUCAAGUCCUGGCUGCGCCA